UACCAAUAUUGGGACUUGAACCCAAAUCUUUUGUGUGAGAGACAAAUGUCCUAACCUUUGGACUAUAUUGGU
rnacentral:tRNA from 1 species